rnacentral:rRNA from 1 species
AGAACGAACGCUGGCGGCGUGGAUAAGACAUGCAAGUCGAACGCGACUUACAGUGAUAGCAAUAUUAUUGUAAGUUGAGUGGCGAAAGGGUGCGUAACACGUGGGAAUUUACCAAGAAGUGGGGAAUAGCUCGACGAAAGUCGAAUUAAUACCGCAUGUGAUCGAAAGAUCAAAGCCGGGGACCGCAAGGCCUGGCGCUUUUUGAGAAGCCCGCGGCCCAUCAGCUAGUUGGCGGGGUAACGGCCCACCAAGGCUAUGACGGGUAGCUGGUCUGAGAGGACGACCAGCCACACUGGAACUGAGACACGGUCCAGACACCUACGGGUGGCAGCAGUCGAGAAUUUUUCACAAUGGACGAAAGUCUGAUGGAGCGACGCCGCGUGGAGGAUGAAGGUUUUCGGAUUGUAAACUCCUGUCACUGCAGAACAAGGAUGUGCGCAUGAAUAGUGCGUGCAUUUGAUGGUAUGCGGAGAGGAAGGGACGG